rnacentral:piRNA from 1 species
UGGGAAAGCUAAGUGUUGAUAGCUAAUAA